rnacentral:RNase_P_RNA from 1 species
GGAGUAGGCGAGGUGGUUGCUCCUUCUUCCCAUCAGAGGGGAGGGGGGGAGGAAAGUCCGAACUCCAAAGGGCAGGAUGGUCGCUAACAGCGACUCCGAGCGAUCGGAGGAAAGUGCCACAGAAAAGACACCGCUUUGAACAACCGGUUCCGACCGUUGGUCAGAGCAAGGGUGAAAAGGCGAGGUAAGAGCUCACCGUUCUGGUGGUGACAUCAGAAGCAUGGUAAACCCCAUCCGGUGCAAGACCAAAUUGGCCCUGGUUGAGAUGGCCCGUCUCAGGGGGCGGGUGGGUCGCUAGACCUCUUGAGCAAUCAAGGGGCAAGAUAAAUAACCACCCCCGGCAAUCAACGGGAACAGAAUUCGGCUUACGACCUGCUCCAGCC